UACAGAGGUGGCGAGCGUUGUUCGGAUUCAUUGGGCGUAAAGGGUCCGUAGGCGGCCCGGAAAGUCGGAUGUGAAAUCCCAGAGCUUAACUCUGGAACUGCAUUCGAAACUCUCGGGCUCGAGCGUGGGAGGGGUGAAGGGAAUUCCCGGUGUAAGAGUGAAAUCUGCAGAGAUCGGGAGGAACACCAGUCGCGAAGGCGCUUCACUGGCCCACCGCUGACGCUCAGGGACGAAAGCCAGGGGAGCAAACGGGAUUAGAUACCCGUGUAGU
rnacentral:rRNA from 1 species